GGUUUGGGACCCCUAUAGGAAUCUGAAGCUGGGGGUUUGCCAUAUCUUGAAUCACAGUGUGGAGAAUAAUAUUGCAGGUCAGAUUGCUCAUGUGUACUGGAUUCUCCUCCAGUUCACCAUCUGAUUCCAAGCCUCCUUCUCUGAUUCAGACACCCUCUCGGGCAAGACUCCAGCUGACAGCAUUCUGGCUCCUCUUACUCCAAGGACAACAAGCAGUUGACAACUCCGGAUCAAGAUCACAACUAUCAGACUAACUCUCCACUCCCACACCCACAUCGUUUCCCCCCUGGCGGUUCAUUCUCUCAUCAACUGUAAGCACUAGAUCCAUCAAUAUCUUCAUAAUCAUCUCAGACGUUUCCUAACCCUCCUGUCCUCUUUCCCGCACAGUUGAUGUGUUCCUGGUUCCAGGUUCCAGAAAAUAUAGUCUCAUAAUAACCCUUUUAAACCUUCUUCUGCCUCCUGUGUGUUCUGCACGUGGGUCAAAGCAGCAAAAACUAUGACAUGGAGAACCUUUUGAAUCAGUAAACCACUUAAAUACAGCAUGUCUGCCAAGAUGAAGUAGG